rnacentral:rRNA from 1 species
UACGGGAGGCAGCAGUGGGAGAUAUAUUGCACAAUGGCGCGAAACGCUCUGAUCGCACGCGCCCGCCGCGUGAGGGAUGAGCGGCCUUGCGGUGUUGUAAACUCUCUUUCAGCUCGGAAGAAGGCUAAGUGACCGUACCUG